rnacentral:rRNA from 1 species
AGAGUUUGAUCCUGGCUCAGGAUGAACGCUGGCGGCGUGCCUAAUACAUGCAAGUCGAGCGAACGGACGAGAAGCUUGCUUCUCUGAUGUUAGCGGCGGACGGGUGAGUAACACGUGGAUAACCUACCUAUAAGACUGGGAUAACUUCGGGAAACCGGAGCUAAUACCGGAUAAUAUUUUGAACCGCAUGGUUCAAAAGUGAAAGACGGUCUUGCUGUCACUUAUAGAUGGAUCCGCGCUGCAUUAGCUAGUUGGUAAGGUAACGGCUUACCAAGGCAACGAUGCAUAGCCGACCUGAGAGGGUGAUCGGCCACACUGGAACUGAGACACGGUCCAGACUCCUACGGGAGGCAGCAGUAGGGAAUCUUCCGCAAUGGGCGAAAGCCUGACGGAGCAACGCCGCGUGAGUGAUGAAGGUCUUCGGAUCGUAAAACUCUGUUAUUAGGGAAGAACAUAUGUGUAAGUAACUGUGCACAUCUUGACGGUACCUAAUCAGAAAGCCACGGCUAACUACGUGCCAGCAGCCGCGGUAAUACGUAGGUGGCAAGCGUUAUCCGGAAUUAUUGGGCGUAAAGCGCGCGUAGGCGGUUUUUUAAGUCUGAUGUGAAAGCCCACGGCUCAACCGUGGAGGGUCAUUGGAAACUGGAAAACUUGAGUGCAGAAGAGGAAAGUGGAAUUCCAUGUGUAGCGGUGAAAUGCGCAGAGAUAUGGAGGAACACCAGUGGCGAAGGCGACUUUCUGGUCUGUAACUGACGCUGAUGUGCGAAAGCGUGGGGAUCAAACAGGAUUAGAUACCCUGGUAGUCCACGCCGUAAACGAUGAGUGCUAAGUGUUAGGGGGUUUCCGCCCCUUAGUGCUGCAGCUAACGCAUUAAGCACUCCGCCUGGGGAGUACGACCGCAAGGUUGAAACUCAAAGGAAUUGACGGGGACCCGCACAAGCGGUGGAGCAUGUGGUUUAAUUCGAAGCAACGCGAAGAACCUUACCAAAUCUUGACAUCCUUUGACAACUCUAGAGAUAGAGCCUUCCCCUUCGGGGGACAAAGUGACAGGUGGUGCAUGGUUGUCGUCAGCUCGUGUCGUGAGAUGUUGGGUUAAGUCCCGCAACGAGCGCAACCCUUAAGCUUGUUGCCAUCAUUAAGUUGGGCACUCUAAGUUGACUGCCGGUGACAAACCGGAGGAAGGUGGGGAUGACGUCAAAUCAUCAUGCCCCUUAUGAUUUGGGCUACACACGUGCUACAAUGGACAAUACAAAGGGCAGCGAAACCGCGAGGUCAAGCAAAUCCCAUAAAGUUGUUCUCAGUUCGGAUUGUAGUCUGCAACUCGACUACAUGAAGCUGGAAUCGCUAGUAAUCGUAGAUCAGCAUGCUACGGUGAAUACGUUCCCGGGUCUUGUACACACCGCCCGUCACACCACGAGAGUUUGUAACACCCGAAGCCGGUGGAGUAACCUUUUAGGAGCUAGCCGUCGAAGGUGGGACAAAUGAUUGGGGUGAAGUCGUAACAAGGUAGCCGUAUCGGAAGGUGCGGCUGGAUCACCU